rnacentral:rRNA from 1 species
AGAGUUUGAUCAUGGCUCAGGAUGAACGCUGGCGGUCUGCUUAACACAUGCAAGUCGAACGGACUCUUCGGAGUUAGUGGCGGACGGGUGAGUAACGCGUGAGAAUCUGCCUCUAGAACGGGGACAACAGAGGGAAACUUCUGCUAAUCCCGGAUGAGCCGAAAGGUCAAAGAUUUAUCGUCUAGAGAUGAGCUCGCGUCUGAUUAGCUAGUUGGUAAGGUAAAGGCUUACCAAGGCGACGAUCAGUAGCUGGUCUGAGAGGAUGAUCAGCCACACUGGGACUGAGACACGGCCCAGACUCCUACGGGAGGCAGCAGUGGGGAAUUUUCCGCAAUGGGCGCAAGCCUGACGGAGCAAGACCGCGUGGGGGAGGAAAGCCUUUGGGUUGUAAACCCCUUUUCUCAGGGAAGAAGAAAGUGACGGUACCUGAGGAAUCAGCCUCGGCUAACUCCGUGCCAGCAGCCGCGGUACUACGGAGGAGGCAAGCGUUAUCCGGAAUGAUUGGGCGUAAAGCGUUCGUAGGUGGCAAUUCAAGUCUGCUGUCAAAGACAGUAGCUCAACUACUGCAAGGCAGUGGAAACUGAAUAGCUAGAGUGCGGUAGGGGCAGAGGGAAUUCCCGGUGUAGCGGUGAAAUGCGUAGAGAUCGGGAAGAACACCGGUGGCGAAAGCGCUCUGCUGGGCCGCAACUGACACUGAGGGACGAAAGCUAGGGGAGCGAAUGGGAUUAGAUACCCCAGUAGUCCUAGCUGUAAACGAUGGAAACUAGGUGUUGCCUGUAUCGACCCAGGCAGUGCCGUAGCUAACGCGUAAGUUCCCGCUGGGGAGGUCGAAAGUGGUUUAAUUCGAUGCAACGCGAAGAACCUUACCAGGGCUUGACAUGUCCGGAAUUCUGGGGAAACUCGGAAGUGCCUUCGGGAACCGGAACACAGGUGGUGCAUGGCUGUCGUCAGCUCGUGUCGUGAGAUGUUGGGUUAAGUCCCGCAACGAGCGCAACCCUCGUUUUUAGUUGCCGUCAUCAAGUUGGGCACUCUAGAGAGACUGCCGGUGACAAACCGGAGGAAGGUGGGGAUGACGUCGAGUCAUCAUGCCCCUUACGUCCUGGGCUACACACGUACUACAAUGGUAAGGACAAAGGGCAGCCACUUCGCGAGGAGGAGCUAAUCCCGUAAACCUUGCCUCAGUUCAGAUUGCAGGCUGCAACUCGCCUGCAUGAAGGAGGAAUCGCUAGUAAUCGCAGGUCAGCAUACUGCGGUGAAUCCGUUCCCGGGCCUUGUACACACCGCCCGUCACACCAUGGAAGUUAGCCAUGCCCGAAGUCAUUACUCUAACCUUUCGAGGAGGAGGGUGCCGAAGGCAGGGCUGAUGACUGGGGUGAAGUCGUAACAAGGUAACC